CGGAGGAGCAUGUGGUUUAAUUCGAUGAUACGCGAGGAACCUUACCUGGGCUUGAAAGUUAGUGACAUUCUGUGAAAGCAGAACUUCCGCAAGGACACGAAACUAGGUGCUGCAUGGCUGUCGUCAGCUCGUGCCGUGAGGUGUUGGGUUAAGUCCCGUAACGAGCGCAACCCCUAUCAUUAGUUGCCAUCAGGUCAUGCUGGGGACUCUAAUGAGACUGCCCGCGCAAGCGGUGAGGAAGGUGGGGACGACGUCAAGUCAUCACGGCCCUUACGUCCAGGGCUACACACGUGCUACAAUGGUAGAUACAGCAGGUUGCCACAUGGUAACAUGGAGCUAAUCCCAAAAGUCUAUCUCAGUUCGGAUUGAGGUCUGCAACUCGACCUCAUGAAGCUGGAUUCGCUAGUAAUCGAAAAUCAGCAAUGUUUCGGUGAAUACGUUCCCGGGCCUU
rnacentral:rRNA from 1 species